GGGUUGUGAGGUUAAGCGACUAAGCGUACACGGUGGAUGCCCUGGCAGUCAGAGGCGAUGAAGGACGUGCUAAUCUGCGAUAAGCGUCGGUAAGGUGAUAUGAACCGUUAUAACCGGCGAUUUCCGAAUGGGGAAACCCAGUGUGAUUCGUCACACUAUCAUUAACUGAAUCCAUAGGUUAAUGAGGCGAACCGGGGGAACUGAAACAUCUAAGUACCCCGAGGAAAAGAAAUCAACCGAGAUUCCCCCAGUAGCGGCGAGCGAACGGGGAGCAGCCCAGAGCCUGAAUCAGUGUGUGUGUUAGUGGAAGCGUCUGGAAAGGCGUGCGAUACAGGGUGACAGCCCCGUACACAAAAAUGCACAUACUGUGAGCUCGAUGAGUAGGGCGGGACACGUGGUAUCCUGUCUGAAUAUGGGGGGACCAUCCUCCAAGGCUAAAUACUCCUGACUGACCGAUAGUGAACCAGUACCGUGAGGGAAAGGCGAAAAGAACCCCGGCGAGGGGAGUGAAAAAGAACCUGAAACCGUGUACGUACAAGCAGUGGGAGCACGCUUAGGCGUGUGACUGCGUACCUUUUGUAUAAUGGGUCAGCGACUUAUAUUCUGUAGCAAGGUUAACCGAAUAGGGGAGCCGAAGGGAAACCGAGUCUUAACUGGGCGUUAAGUUGCAGGGUAUAGACCCGAAACCCGGUGAUCUAGCCAUGGGCAGGUUGAAGGUUGGGUAACACUAACUGGAGGACCGAACCGACUAAUGUUGAAAAAUUAGCGGAUGACUUGUGGCUGGGGGUGAAAGGCCAAUCAAACCGGGAGAUAGCUGGUUCUCCCCGAAAGCUAUUUAGGUAGCGCCUCGUGAAUUCAUCUCCGGGGGUAGAGCACUGUUUCGGCAAGGGGGUCAUCCCGACUUACCAACCCGAUGCAAACUGCGAAUACCGGAGAAUGUUAUCACGGGAGACACACGGCGGGUGCUAACGUCCGUCGUGAAGAGGGAAACAACCCAGACCGCCAGCUAAGGUCCCAAAGUCAUGGUUAAGUGGGAAACGAUGUGGGAAGGCCCAGACAGCCAGGAUGUUGGCUUAGAAGCAGCCAUCAUUUAAAGAAAGCGUAAUAGCUCACUGGUCGAGUCGGCCUGCGCGGAAGAUGUAACGGGGCUAAACCAUGCACCGAAGCUGCGGCAGCGACGCUUAUGCGUUGUUGGGUAGGGGAGCGUUCUGUAAGCCUGCGAAGGUGUGCUGUGAGGCAUGCUGGAGGUAUCAGAAGUGCGAAUGCUGACAUAAGUAACGAUAAAGCGGGUGAAAAGCCCGCUCGCCGGAAGACCAAGGGUUCCUGUCCAACGUUAAUCGGGGCAGGGUGAGUCGACCCCUAAGGCGAGGCCGAAAGGCGUAGUCGAUGGGAAACAGGUUAAUAUUCCUGUACUUGGUGUUACUGCGAAGGGGGGACGGAGAAGGCUAUGUUGGCCGGGCGACGGUUGUCCCGGUUUAAGCGUGUAGGCUGGUUUUCCAGGCAAAUCCGGAAAAUCAAGGCUGAGGCGUGAUGACGAGGCACUACGGUGCUGAAGCAACAAAUGCCCUGCUUCCAGGAAAAGCCUCUAAGCAUCAGGUAACAUCAAAUCGUACCCCAAACCGACACAGGUGGUCAGGUAGAGAAUACCAAGGCGCUUGAGAGAACUCGGGUGAAGGAACUAGGCAAAAUGGUGCCGUAACUUCGGGAGAAGGCACGCUGAUAUGUAGGUGAAGUCCCUCGCGGAUGGAGCUGAAAUCAGUCGAAGAUACCAGCUGGCUGCAACUGUUUAUUAAAAACACAGCACUGUGCAAACACGAAAGUGGACGUAUACGGUGUGACGCCUGCCCGGUGCCGGAAGGUUAAUUGAUGGGGUCAGCGCAAGCGAAGCUCUUGAUCGAAGCCCCGGUAAACGGCGGCCGUAACUAUAACGGUCCUAAGGUAGCGAAAUUCCUUGUCGGGUAAGUUCCGACCUGCACGAAUGGCGUAAUGAUGGCCAGGCUGUCUCCACCCGAGACUCAGUGAAAUUGAACUCGCUGUGAAGAUGCAGUGUACCCGCGGCAAGACGGAAAGACCCCGUGAACCUUUACUAUAGCUUGACACUGAACAUUGAGCCUUGAUGUGUAGGAUAGGUGGGAGGCUUUGAAGUGUGGACGCCAGUCUGCAUGGAGCCGACCUUGAAAUACCACCCUUUAAUGUUUGAUGUUCUAACGUUGACCCGUAAUCCGGGUUGCGGACAGUGUCUGGUGGGUAGUUUGACUGGGGCGGUCUCCUCCUAAAGAGUAACGGAGGAGCACGAAGGUUGGCUAAUCCUGGUCGGACAUCAGGAGGUUAGUGCAAUGGCAUAAGCCAGCUUGACUGCGAGCGUGACGGCGCGAGCAGGUGCGAAAGCAGGUCAUAGUGAUCCGGUGGUUCUGAAUGGAAGGGCCAUCGCUCAACGGAUAAAAGGUACUCCGGGGAUAACAGGCUGAUACCGCCCAAGAGUUCAUAUCGACGGCGGUGUUUGGCACCUCGAUGUCGGCUCAUCACAUCCUGGGGCUGAAGUAGGUCCCAAGGGUAUGGCUGUUCGCCAUUUAAAGUGGUACGCGAGCUGGGUUUAGAACGUCGUGAGACAGUUCGGUCCCUAUCUGCCGUGGGCGCUGGAGAACUGAGGGGGGCUGCUCCUAGUACGAGAGGACCGGAGUGGACGCAUCACUGGUGUUCGGGUUGUCAUGCCAAUGGCACUGCCCGGUAGCUAAAUGCGGAAGAGAUAAGUGCUGAAAGCAUCUAAGCACGAAACUUGCCCCGAGAUGAGUUCUCCCUGACUCCUUGAGAGUCCUGAAGGAACGUUGAAGACGACGACGUUGAUAGGCCGGGUGUGUAAGCGCAGCGAUGCGUUGAGCUAACCGGUACUAAUGAACCGUGAGG
rnacentral:rRNA from 1 species